rnacentral:rRNA from 1 species
UACGUAGGGGGCUAGCGUUGUCCGGAAUCAUUGGGCGUAAAGAGCGUGUAGGCGGUCCGGUAAGUCCGUUGUGAAAGUCAGGGGCUCAACCCUUGAAUGCCGGCGGAUACUGUCGGGCUAGAGUCCGGAGAGGCAAGUGGAAUUCCCGGUGUAGCGGUGAAAUGCGCAGAUAUCGGGAGGAACACCUAUGGCGAAGGCAGCUUGCUGGGACGGUACUGACGCUGAGACGCGAAAGCGUGGGGAUCAAACAGG